GAUGAACGCUGGCGGCGUGCCUAAUACAUGCAAGUCGAGCGAACGGACGAGAAGCUUGUUUCUCUGAUGUUAGCGGCGGACGGGUGAGUAACACGUGGAUAACCUACCUAUAAGACUGGGAUAACUUCGGGAAACCGGUGCUAAUACCGGAUAAUAUUUUGAACCGCAUGGUUCAAAAGUGAAAGACGGUCUUGCUGUCACUUAUAGAUGGAUCCGCGCUGCAUUAGCUAGUUGGUAAGGUAACGGCUUACCAAGGCAACGAUGCAUAGCCGACCUGAGAGGGUGAUCGGCCACACUGGAACUGAGACACGGUCCAGACUCCUACGGGAGGCAGCAGUAGGGAAUCUUCCGCAAUGGGCGAAGGCCUGACGGAGCAACGCCGCGUGAGUGAUGAAGGUCUUCGGAUCGUAAAACUCUGUUAUUAGGGAAGAACAUAUGUGUAAGUAACUGUGCACAUCUUGACGGUACCUAAUCAGAAAGCCACGGCUAACUACGUG
rnacentral:rRNA from 1 species